CGGGAGGUAGUGACAAGAAAUAACAAUACGGGGCUUUACGUCUUGUAAUUGGAAUGAUGGGAAUCUAAACCUCUUCCAGAGUAUCAAUUGGAGGGCAAGUCUGGUGCCAGCAGCCGCGGUAAUUCCAGCUCCAAUAGCGUAUAUUAAAAUUGUUGCAGUUAAAAAGCUCGUAGUUGAAUUUCUGCUGCAUCGCCUUUUCUCCUUUACGAGUUUUGGCAUUGUGGCUUAUUUCGGAUUUGCUUGCAUUUCCGAAUGUUUACUUUGAGAAAAUUAGAGUGCUCAAAGCAGGCUUUUGCCUUGAAUAGUUUAGCAUGGAAUAAUAAAGUAGGACUUUGGUUCUAUUUUGUUGGUUUUAGGUACCAAAGUAAUGGUUAAUAGGAACAGUUGGGGGCAUUCGUAUUUAACUGUCAGAGGUGAAAUUCUUAGACCAG
rnacentral:rRNA from 1 species